rnacentral:rRNA from 1 species
CCUACGGGGGGCAGCAGUGAGGAAUAUUGGUCAAUGGGCGCGAGCCUGAACCAGCCAAGUCGCGUGAGGGAAGACGGUCCUAUGGAUUGUAAACCUCUUUUGUCGGGGAGCAAAAGACUCCACGCGUGGCGUUCCGAGAGUACCCGAAGAAAAAGCAUCGGCUAACUCCGUGCCAGCCGCCGCGGUAAUACGGGGGGUGCGAGCGUUAUCCGGAUUUAUUUGGUUUAAAGGGUGCGCAGGCGGAAGAUCAAGUCAGCGGUAAAAUUGAGAGGCUCAACCUCUUCGAGCCGUUGAAACUGGUUUUCUUGAGUGAGCGAGAGGUAUGCGGGAUGCGUGGUGGAGCGGUGAAAUGCAUAGAUAUCACGCAGAACUCCGAUUGGGAAGGCAGCAUACCGGCGCUCAACUGACGCUCAUGCACGAAAGUGUGGGUAUCGAACAGGAUUAGAUACCCUUGUAGUC